AUUGGAGAUGCUUUUGAAAGAUGGAGACGGCUGAAAACAGAGAAGAAUUUGAACACAGACGCCAACGUUGCUAAUUUUCUCCUGGACAGCUAUUAUGGCCCCAGCACCUCAACACCCAGUAAGAGAGACUUGAAGAAGCACCACCUGACUGCACCAUCACUUUCCAGUAUUGUAUGUGCAUCAUCUGAAACACUUUCAAAACGAGAGGACCUGUCGCCUAUUGAGGAAAUACUGGAAGAUGAUGAGCGCACCAUGGAUGCCUCUGAG